rnacentral:misc_RNA from 1 species
GGAGCACAGAAGACAAUAGCAGCUACUGCAGCUUUUGCAAAAGUUGCCGCAGCAGCUGCAGCUUCAUCUCAUUAUUCAUCACACUUGCCUUCAGUUGCUAUGACCCCAAUGGCUCAUACUAAUCGAUCAAAGAGGAUUCCAUCUGCUGAUUCAAAAAACAUGAAAGCCGAGAAGACUUCUGUUUUUACUCCAAGUAUGGCUAAGGAUUCUCCGCAGGGCACACAAAUGAAGAAUCAACCUAAAAAUGGUUUUCAUUCGGCUGCUGGUGGAGGUCUAUUGAACGUGAAACUUUUUACAAGAUCAAAGGAUAGCCGUG